CUCAGCGUUCCGCCCCGCGCUCACCUCGCCCCGCCGCAGCGGAGGCCCUGCCCGCCGCCUACCAACCGCGUGCCGCCGCCAUGGCCGCCGUCCGGACAGUGGCAUCUCUCAGAAGAUGAGUGCUGUCUCUGCUUCGCAAUGCCAUCGGAUGAAGGCUCUGUGGAUGCUUUUCUGAAGGUGCUGUUUCACCCAAAUCAGUAACAAGAGCAGUUCAAGGACACCUUGAUCCAGCCACGUUUACGGGGCUGCCAUGGCCCUGCUGUUACUGCGUGCACAAGAAGAACUCACCAGGAGUUUCAAGAGCCAACUUCUCACCAGGACUCUGCUCUAAACACAGAGCAAGUCUCCACUGUUAAGAAAUUGUCUCAACUCAGUCAAGAGACAAUGGAGAUCAAGUUAGCUGUAAUUAGUCUCACGCUUUACCUCAUCUGGGCUACAGGACAGAUUUCUAUCUAGUAUCAACCAUCUUAGUCCAGUUGCAGGCAAUAGAGUGGGAUUUCUCCAUGUUAAACUGGAGGCUCUUCCCAAUCCUAGCGUUCUGGAAGACCACGGGAGCUUUCCCACCCUUGUCUGCAGAAUGAUAGCAGCUGAUGGCAAGCAGUCCUUGGGAGACAGUCCUCCUUUGUGACAAAGCUGGAAUGCCAGGCACAGCCCUGGCUGACCAGUGCAGCUCAAAGCAGCCAGACAAUGGAAGGCACGUGCCAGGUACGGGGCAGCUCUGCUUCUUGGCCUGACUUCCAUAGCCAGCCCCAUCCAUGCAGCACAGUCAGACCUCGCUGUCCGGAUCUCAGCUCUCGUGCUUCCUUUCAUGUUUCCAAUGCCCAAGUGCUCUCAGCUCCCCUAUCUCACCUUCUGUUAAGGCAUUCAUGAGCUGUUUUAAUUACAGAUAAAGCUAAGACCAGAGACUGGCUUGCUGGAAUGAACUGGGAGCAGCUAUAAGCUAGGUGAUGCACACAAAAUGGGGCAGUUGCUUUUUCUUCUACUCAGGUUAGCCAAGUUAGCUCAGCUCAUUGGUAUGUAAAGCAGACCCUUGAGUUUGGAAUUAGCUUCACAACACGUGUCAAGGUUAGGGCAGAAGCACGUGCUGUCUUUCUAGCCAGUAAUAGGUAACAGUGCUAUUGCCCUUGAUUAUAGAGAAAAGUAGACUGGGGCUAUCAGAGUGCUUCUUGAUCUCAUGGCUAGUAAGGAGCAUUCUUACCUACAACAGUGAUCCUUAGCUGAUGAAAACAAAAAUUUGACAUGACCCAGUAACACUGCAGAAAUCAAAUCUUAGAAUAUAUUUUUUCCCACUACUGGAAGAUAUAACAUUCGACUGAAAUCCAGAAUUAAAAAGAAGCAGGAAAGGCUGUGUAUAAUAAAAUAAAGCCAAUAGUAGGCUGUCCUUACUGUAACACCUCAGGCUUUUGUCCUCACAGUGUUCUUUUAGCCUAGCGUUAUACAAACAUCGUCUCUGUAGAUGCUUUUCAUAUUGGACCUACCUAUUGUUAGCAGCCAGCCACUUUGCUUUCAAAUACCAAAACUAAUACCAAGCUGUUACCGCAGCAUAGCUGCAAGUAUUACAGCCCUCUCUAGGCAGCCCUUCUCCCCUUUUUAUGGUGCAGGAGUCGGUUGGCACAAUGACCCCGAUCAGCGCUUGCAGGUGGGAAUAGAGGAGAGUGAGCACGCUGCUUUCAGGAGAGUGGGAAGAGGUUUGUGGGAAUACUGCUGUCUGUAGCAAGUGAGAGAGAAAUUAUACCAGCCUUAAGAGAUCUUUGGGAUAGGUGGAAGGGAGAGUAGUUCUUCCUUGCAAACAAGGUCUGUGCAAUCCGAGCUGAGCGCUGAAUGAAAGGCGCUGCGUGAUGGUCCGGGAGCAGCUAAUGCUGCUGGUGGGAGCCAGCACGUGGGGCUGUGUGAAUGCCAUCGAAGGGCUGCCAGGAGCAAUGCUGAGAGCCGUGGAAAUGUGUAGCGGGGAGAGAACUGAAGCUCCGAGUUCCUCGUGAAGAUGAAGUUCUGGCUGGUGAGAAAAUGGGGAUUUAGAGAUUGCCCCUAAAUGCAAAGGGAUUGGAAAUAUGUACCAGUUGUUCGAUGUGUGACUCCCCCACUUACACUGAUAACACAGUGAAAGCUCCGGGGCUUAACCAAUGGCACCAGGGCCUUAACAGCUAUGUGUAUUUUAAUGUCCUAAUUAUACUGCAUGGCAAUUGCAUUAUAGCUGAUUCUUGCUGUUCCUCACAGGUAUGAGCUGCUUUGUCUGAGCCAUAGGCUGGGCCAGUUAACCAGUCCUGAGUGCCACGAACUUGCUUCCAGAACUGCACUGGUACAGACAGGGACAAAGCUCUUAGGAGCACUCUGGGUGCUCUCUGGAGAUGGUGACCUUGGUUGCUUCCAGAUGGCUGUGCUGAGUUCUAUCUGCAGGUCUGGGUCCUGCAGAGCCAAGAAUGAAGGAGGCUGUCUAGAAACCAUUUAUACAGAUCAGCACUUGAUGGCAUCAAUAGCUCCCUCCGGGCUUCUUGCAGGCUGAGAUAGUGGCAGAUUGUCAAAAUUACUUAACAUCCUGGAACACCACCCAUCCCAGUAUGAAUAGGCUUCUUGUGUACAACCCACAUGAUCAUAGUGUUUUUCUGGUGUCUCUAUGGAGACUGGAGACAUACUUCUGGUCUAUUGGUUUGGGAUCUUUUUUUCUUCUCUGCUUUCAGGUGAAUUGUCUUGUAGGAAAAAGAAAAAAAGAAAACAAACAGAUAUAAUCCUUGUGAAUAAUGAAUAAAGCAUCAGUCACAGAAUGCCAAAACAUCCUGCUCCCUUUUAUAGAAGGACUUGGAAAUAUUUUGAUUUUUUUAACACUACCAUCCAGUUUGGCAGAGAUUUAGCAAGGCUUGUGCAAAAAUAAUGGGCCUUAGGCAAAGCUGGAUGAAGCAGCGAGCAUUCAGAUCUGGAUCCUCACCCAAAUUAGGUUGGAGCAUGGAUUAGAGUGAAGCUGUGUUAAAUUUGGGAAGCUUACCAUGCCAAAAACUGGGGGAGACUUUUAAAAAUGUUCCAAUCCCAAACACUGAUGCUCUCAUGAGGUCAGAUGCUGCCCCUUACUGUUGGCUCUAAUCCUUCCAGGAAAGUGGUUUAAAUAAGAUUUCUGUUACCUUGGGCGAAUUAAGAGGUGCCUUGGUUUUCACUGGGAUCCUGGAGAGGGCAGCAGUGCAGGUAGGAUGAAGAGAUGGAUGUGCAGCAUGGUGUUCCCUGGACAAAAGGAUGCAUGAGGAAUCACUACUGAGAACAGAGAAUUUCCUUUGGAAGGGGCCUCUUUGUGGCUAACCAGAAGCUACAGCACGUUACUGAGGGCAUUGUCCAAAUGACUGCCCCACUAAUAACUGUGGUGAAUGCUGGGGGGGUACCAGGCACAUCUGGCUUGCCCAAACUCGAUGCUAAAUUGUGUUGAGGGCAGUGUCAGGAACAGUUGUACUCUUGCACCACGGAGGCCCUAUCCAUGACUGCUGCUACCUGCUCCCUCUGCCCCACAGCAAGCCCCACCAGUGUUCUGCUGCUCAGGAUGACACAGAAUGCUCCGUUGCAUUCCUGGUUGCCGCUCCCAAGCUCCUUAGCCCUAGUUUACACGUCCAGAUUCUAGCCUCUUAGCUCUAGCAUGAAAAAACAAAUCCCCGCCUGCUGAAAGAUGCCAUAUGUUCCUUGGCAUCAACUCAGGUGUACGUGGUAUCGAUACAACACCCAGA